GCGGCGGAUGGGUGAGUAACACGUGGGCAAUCUGCCCUAAAGACUGGGAUACCACUUGGAAACAGGUGCUAAUACCGGAUAACAACAUGAAUCGCAUGAUUCAAGUUUGAAAGGCGGCGCAAGCUGUCACUUUAGGAUGAGCCCGCGGCGCAUUAGCUAGUUGGUGGGGUAAAGGCCUACCAAGGCAAUGAUGCGUAGCCGAGUUGAGAGACUGAUCGGCCACAUUGGGACUGAGACACGGCCCAAACUCCUACGGGAGGCAGCAGUAGGGAAUCUUCCACAAUGGACGCAAGUCUGAUGGAGCAACGCCGCGUGAGUGAAGAAGGUCUUCGGAUCGUAAAGCUCUGUUGUUGGUGAAGAAGGAUAGAGGCAGUAACUGGUCUUUAUUUGACGGUAAUCAACCAGAAAGUCACGGCUAACUACGUGCCAGCAGCCGCGGUAAUACGUAGGUGGCAAGCGUUGUCCGGAUUUAUUGGGC
rnacentral:rRNA from 1 species